GGGCAGGUAGCCAAGUGGUCAACGGCGUCUGACUGUAAAUCAGAUGGCAUCGCCUUCGGGGGUUCGAGUCCCUCCCUGCCCA
rnacentral:tRNA from 1 species